AAGGACACCUUCUUCAGAGUUAAACUGAGGUUGAACAUGACUGGAGAGAUUCAGAAACCAAUGAAUACCAUCAAUAAAUGGCUUCAGGAAAAACUCAAGCCACAUCAAAUGGAGAUAUUACACUUGAAGAUCCUAGAGGAGGCUGUCAGGGGUAGUGAUAAUGAGGAGACUCAUGGAUCGAAGAUGAUUCCUAGGCUGAGUGAGAAAGC